rnacentral:Y_RNA from 1 species
GGCUGGUCCAAGUGCAGUGGUGUUUACAACUAAUUGAUCACAACCAGUUACGGAUUUCUUUGUUCCUUCUCCACUCCCACUGCUUCACUUGACUAGCCUUAA